UCCGGUGGCCAUAGCGGUGAGGAACCACCCGAUCCCUUCUCGAACUCGGAAGUUAAGAUCACCAGCGCCAAUGGUACUGCAAGGGAAACUUUGUGGGAGAGUAGGACGCUGCCGGAU
rnacentral:rRNA from 1 species